rnacentral:rRNA from 1 species
GAUGAACGCUGGCGGCGUGCCUAAUACAUGCAAGUCGAGCGAACGGACGAGAAGCUUGCUUCUCUGAAGUUAGCGGCGGACGGGUGAGUAACACGUGGAUAACCUAUCUAUAAGACUGGGAUAACUUCGGGAAACCGGAGCUAAUAUAGGAUGAUAUUUUGAACCGCAUGGUUCAAAAGUGAAAGACGGUCUUGCUGUCACUUAUAGAUGGAUCCGCGCUGCAUUAGCUAGUUGGUAAGGUAAUGGCUUACCAAGGCAACGAUGCAUAGCCGACCUGAGAGGGUGAUCGGCCACACUGGAACUGAGACACGGUCCAGACUCCUACGGGAGGCAGCAGUAGGGAAUCUUCCGCAAUGGGCGAAAGCCUGACGGAGCAACGCCGCGUGAGUGAUGAAGGUCUUCGGAUCGUAAAACUCUGUUAUUAGGGAAGAACAUAUGUUUAAGUAACUGUGCACAUCUUGACGGUACCUAAUCAGAAAGCCACGGCUAACUACGUG